rnacentral:rRNA from 1 species
AUUGAACGCUGGCGGCAGGCCUAACACAUGCAAGUCGAACGAGUGGCGGACGGGUGAGUAAUGUCUGGGAAACUGCCUGAUGGAGGGGGAUAACUACUGGAAACGGUAGCUAAUACCGUAUACCAUCAGAUGUUCCCAGAUGGGAUUGGCUUGUUGGUGGGGUAACGGCUCACCAAGGCGACGAUCCCUAACUGGUCUGAGAGGAUGACCGACCACAUAGUAACUGAGACACGGUCCAAACUCCUACGGGAGGCAGCAGUGGGGAAUAUUGCGCAAUGGGCGCAAGCCUGAUGCAGCCAUGCCGCGUGUAUGAAGAAGGCCUUCGGGUUGUAAAGUACUUUCAGCGGGGAGGCGUUACCCGCAGAAGAAGCAACGGCUAACUCCGUGCCAGCAGCCGCGGUAAUUC